rnacentral:rRNA from 1 species
ACGGAAGGCAGCAGUGAGGAAUAUUGGUCAAUGGGCGGAAGCCUGAACCAGCCAUGUCGCGUGCAGGACUACGGCCCUACGGGUCUUAAACUGCUUUUGAUUGGGGAUAAAGUGGGGGACGUGUCCCCUAUUGCAGGUACCAAUCGAAUAAGGAUCGGCUAACUCCGUGCCAGCAGCCGCGGUAAUACGGAGGAUCCGAGCGUUAUCCGGAUUUAUUGGGUUUAAAGGGUGCGUAGGCGGGCUGUUAAGUCAGCGGUGAAACCCCCGGGCUCAACCCGGGGACUGCCAUUGAAACUGGCGGCCUAGAGUACGUUGGAGGUGCGCGGAAUGUGUUGUGUAGCGGUGAAAUGCAUAGAUAUCACACAGAACACCGAUCGCGAAGGCAGCGCACUACACCGCAACUGACGCUGAGGCACGAAAGCGCGGGGAUCAAACAGGAUUAGAUACCCUGGUA